CCAGAAUGUGGAAAGUAAAAAGCCAGUGGCCCUGACAAAAGCUUGAAGUUAAGAAGGAUGAAGAUAUACAAGGACUACCUGUUCCCAGGGGCUGGAAAUUAUGAAGAUGAGGAGGAUGAGGAAGAACACGAAUCACCAGAUCGCAGGCUCAGCAGGAAUCUGGUGAAGGACACAAUGC